UACAGAGGUCUCAAGCGUUGUUCGGAUUCAUUGGGCGUAAAGGGUGCGUAGGCGGCGCGGUAAGUCGGGUGUGAAAUCUCGGAGCUUAACUCCGAAACUGCAUUCGAUACUGCCGUGCUUGAGGACUGGAGAGGAGACUGGAAUUUACGGUGUAGCGGUGAAAUGCGUAGAUAUCGUAAGGAAGACCAGUGGCGAAGGCGGGUCUCUGGACAGUUCCUGACGCUGAGACACGGAAGGCCAGGGGAGCAAACGGG
rnacentral:rRNA from 1 species